UACGAAGGGGGCUAGCGUUGUUCGGAAUUACUGGGCGUAAAGCGCACGUAGGCGGACAUUUAAGUCAGGGGUGAAAUCCCGGGGCUCAACCCCGGAACUGCCUUUGAUACUGGGUGUCUGGAGUAUGGAAGAGGUGAGUGGAAUUCCGAGUGUAGAGGUGAAAUUCGUAGAUAUUCGCAAGAACACCAGUGGCGAAGGCGGCUCACUGGCCCGGUACUGACGCUGAGGUGCGAAAGCGUGGGGAGCAAACAGG
rnacentral:rRNA from 1 species